rnacentral:lncRNA from 1 species
UCAUAUUGCUUGAGUUUACUUUGUCUACAUCAUGUCAUUGCAGUCGAUGAGUGGAGUAAUAGUAAUAGGUGCAGGCAGGAGUCGGCCUAUUUUUUUAUGGACAUGAUGCCUAUAUACACAUUAUCAUUGUCGUGAAUAUCACAUAACUAUCCGCUUUUCUGUCAAUUGCCCAAAAGUAAUUUGUGUACCCACCGUAUGCUAUUUUUCAUGAGAGAUGCCAUUAGGGAAAGCUAUGGCCCCCGGGUCUAUUCACAACAUAUUGAUAAAAACUUCAAUAC